UACGUAGGGUGCAAGCGUUAAUCGGAAUUACUGGGCGUAAAGCGUGCGCAGGCGGUGAUGUAAGACAGUUGUGAAAUCCCCGGGCUCAACCUGGGAACUGCAUCUGUGACUGCAUGGCUGGAGUGCGGCAGAGGGGGAUGGAAUUCCGGCGUGUAGCAGUGAAAUGCGUAGAUAUGCGGAGGAACACCGAUGGCGAAGGCAAUCCCCUGGGCCUGCACUGACGCUCCAUGCACGAAAGCGUGGGGAGCAAACAGG
rnacentral:rRNA from 1 species